rnacentral:rRNA from 1 species
AUUGAACGCUGGCGGCAUGCCUUACACAUGCAAGUCGAACGGCAGCACGGACUUCGGUCUGGUGGCGAGUGGCGAACGGGUGAGUAAUGUAUCGGAACGUACCUUUCAGUGGGGGAUAACGUAGCGAAAGUUACGCUAAUACCGCAUAUUCUGUGAGCAGGAAAGCAGGGGAGUCGCAAGACCUUGCGCUGAUUGAGCGGCCGAUAUCAGAUUAGCUAGUUGGUGAGGUAAAGGCUCACCAAGGCGACGAUCUGUAGCGGGUCUGAGAGGAUGAUCCGCCACACUGGAACUGAGACACGGUCCAGACUCCUACGGGAGGCAGCAGUGGGGAAUUUUGGACAAUGGGGGCAACCCUGAUCCAGCCAUGCCGCGUGAGUGAAGAAGGCCU